CCUCGGAAGGCGACAGUGUGUGUGAGUGAGUGAGUGUGCAGUGCGAGCUCGUGGGAGAAGAGAAAUAAAGAAACAUAGCUGUGUAUGUGUGUGACUCGUGCACACCCCUUGCAUGGGUCACACACAUACAUCUCACUUCUAAUGGAAUUUUCCACUCCACAGAUGCAUGAAGUCGCGGGUAUUUUGUGUAGAGCACAAGUCACCCUGGGAACCAAACACGCACGGUGGGCAAACCCAGCAGCUGGGCAGAACCCAACUGAGUGAUCCGGGUACGGCACCAAUGUAACAGUAUUGCUUCCGUCCCUCUCCUUGCCCCAACCUAUGCUGGAACCAGGGACCCUUUGAACAUAUCAACAACUGCGUCAGAGCAUCGUUACCUAUUGCUCCUGUCAAUGCUCCUGUUGGGCAAGAAUUAUGGAGCCAGAUUUUCCUCUCUUCCCCCCCCAAUUCAUUUUAUGACCGGUCGUAAAAACUCUGCAGUAUUGAGAGUGGAAUGUGUGACUGUGGAACACACAGAGAGACUUGUCCAAACUUGAACAUAAAACGGUUUAAUAAUGAAACAAUAUUUCUGUAUUCCAACCAGUUGGAAUGGUCCGUGGGCACUUAAAGAACAAUCCUGUUGAAUUUGUUAAAGAUGUGCAAUGUAACUAAGGACAGUAGAACAACAUAACUGUAUAUCUGAAUGUGUAUAAUUCUCAGUGAUCAGCUUCACAUCCAAAUGUUGGGGAACUGAUAUGAUUAAAUAUGAGACUAUUUGUGA